GACGAACGCUGGCGGCGUGCCUAACACAUGCAAGUCGAGCGAUGAAGUUUCCUUCGGGAAAUGGAUUAGCGGCGGACGGGUGAGUAACACGUGGGUAACCUGCCUCAUAGAGGGGAAUAGCCUCCCGAAAGGGAGAUUAAUACCGCAUAAUAUUACAGUUUCGCAUGAAACAGUAAUUAAAGGAGCAAUCCGCUAUGAGAUGGACCCGCGGCGCAUUAGCUAGUUGGUGAGGUAACGGCUCACCAAGGCGACGAUGCGUAGCCGACCUGAGAGGGUGAUCGGCCACAUUGGGACUGAGACACGGCCCAGACUCCUACGGGAGGCAGCAGUGGGGAAUAUUGCACAAUGGGGGAAACCCUGAUGCAGCAACGCCGCGUGAGUGAUGACGGUCUUCGGAUUGUAAAGCUCUGUCUUUGGGGACGAUAAUGACGGUACCCAAGGAGGAAGCCACGGCUAACUACGUGCCAGCAGCCGCCGUAA
rnacentral:rRNA from 1 species